rnacentral:RNase_P_RNA from 1 species
UGAGUAAACCAGACGGUCGCAGCUGCCGCAACAGGCGGCAGUCUGAGGAAAGUCCGAGCUCCAUAGGGCAGGGUGCCAGAUAACGUCUGGUGGAGGCGACUCCAAGGAAAGUGCAACAGAAAUAAACCGCCCGGGCUUUCGGGCCUGCGGCAAGGGUGGAAAGGCGGGGUAAGAGCCCACCGCCCCUUUGGCGACAAGGGGGGCAACUGUAAACCCCAUCCGGAGCAAGACCGUACAGAAGGCCAUACGGCUGCCCGUCGUGCCUUCGGGUAGGUCGCUUGAACUUGCCGGUGACGGCAAGGCUAGAUAGAUGACCGUCUUCAACAGAACUCGGCUUAUCGGUUUGCUCACAUC